GGCAUUUUAUUUUAUUAGAGGAACCUGUUUUUUAAUCGAUAACCCACGAUAAUUUUCACUUUAAUUAAAAAUUUAUAUUUAGCCGUCUAAAGAACUAAUUUUAUUACAUUAUUCUAAAUAAAAAAUAAAAUGUUAGGACAAUGUGUAAUUUACAUUAAAGUAAAUAAAGUGUUAUUUAAAAUAAUUUAAGGAAUAAAUUGUAAAAAAUUUUAAGAAAAAGGAUUUUAAAGUAAUAUUAAAAUGAUAAUUUAUUAUUAAUAAACCAAUAAAUGUGCACACAUCGCCCGUC
rnacentral:rRNA from 1 species